GUGCUCGCUUCGGCAGCACAUAUACUAAAAUUGGAACAAUACAGAGAAAAUUAGUAUGGCCCCUGUGCAAGGAGGAGUAAGCCUGAGAGAGACUUGAGUAUCUC